GAUCAUGGCUCAGAUUGAACGCUGGCGGCAUGCUUUACACAUGCAAGUCGGACGGCAGCACAGGGAAGCUUGCUUCUUGGGUGGCGAGUGGCGAACGGGUGAGUAACAUAUCGGAACGUACCGAGCAGUGGGGGAUAACUAAUCGAAAGAUUAGCUAAUACCGCAUAUUUUCUGAGGAAGAAAGCAGGGGACCUUUGGGCCUUGCGCUGUUUGAGCGGCCGAUAUCUGAUUAG
rnacentral:rRNA from 1 species